rnacentral:rRNA from 1 species
UGGUGCUUUUAGCAUAGUGGAACCACUCCGACUCCAUCCCGAACUCGGUUGUGAAACGCUAUUGCGGCUAAGAUACUUGGAGGGUUGCCUCCUGGGACAAUAGCUCAGUGCCAGGC